UACGUACCGUACGAACGUUAUUCGGAAUUACUGGGCUUAAAGGGUUUGUAGGCGGCCUCGUAAGUCAGGUGUGAAAUCCCUCGGCUCAACCGAGGAAUAGCGCUUGAUACUGCAAGGCUUGAGGGAGACAGGGGUAAGCGGAACUGAUGGUGGAGCGGUGAAAUGCGUUGAUAUCAUCAGGAACACCGGUGGCGAAAGCGGCUUACUGGGUCUCUUCUGACGCUGAGGAACGAAAGCUAGGGUAGCGAACGGG
rnacentral:rRNA from 1 species